GGAAGUACACCUCAGUGGUAGAGCAUGUGCUUAGUGUGCACGAGGUCCUGGGUUCAAUCCCCAGCACCUCCC
rnacentral:tRNA from 1 species